rnacentral:lncRNA from 1 species
UUGUGUUUGUAAAAUAAUUCAUUUUUUAGACGUAUGUUACACGGAUAAUCAUCUGCCAGGUUGCUCUGGAGCAAUCCUCGGGCAGGCUGCGUUCUGUUCGAGGUGUGCCGCUUCCAGGUGUCACAGCACUGUUUGUGGGUAUGCGAUAGCACGGGAGAAGAUUGCACCUGAAAAACCGUGGCUUAAAAAGCAAUCUCUUGGUUUAUGCUUGGCAUCAGAGCAAACUUCUUAAAAAGAUGUUUUCCUUUUGUCAUGCUUGGAAAAAUGAAGUGAAUAGGAAACAUGGAGCUUCCCUGGGCUGUUUUGUUUUGAAACAGUAAAAUAAAGUAAUAGCUGAGACUGUAAGAAGUUUGUUUGGUUUUUAAUAUUGGAUUUUCCUUCUAAAAAGAAGGACUAGUUCCGAGAGUUUUGACUUCAGAGAAAAGCUUCAGUUGAGAAGACAACAGCUGAAAUUCACUCAGAAAGAUUAUUUUUAAGUAGGCUGAUUGGCAAGGGUAGGAAAGCAUUGAGCCUCUUGUUGGACUAAUACUGGGCUGCUCUUUAAAGCACAUGGCCUUCUUGAUCUCUUCAAUUUGUGCAUUAUUCACAUAUUUUCAUUAAUUUAGAGAAAGUCGUCACUGAAUAAUAAAUCCAUCAUUGGGUAAUAAAUCCAGUGUUUACAAGGUAUUUAAUUGAGACGAAAUGCACCAGCUCGGCUUUCAAAUAAGCCAGCAGUAAUCUAGUAAAUUUUAUCUAGAAGUCUGAAAAAGAAUAAAGCUAUUUUAAUAAUUAAUCAUAGAAAUCUUGUCCGUGACUAACUUGAGGGCAAACAAAUUUUUUUGGUGUAUUCCUACCCUGUGAUGCACAGUCUGAGCUGUGUCUACUCAUUUAUCGGGAGUUUCACAUCCAAGUUUUCAGUGCAGUCAAGAUAACGAACGUAUAUGAUGAUUGUCUGGUGAUUUUUAUCUGCUUUUGAAUUGAGAAAUUCCUUCCCCUUAACCAAACCCCCUCCACAGCCCACUUUGCAAGCAGUAUUUUCAAUUAUUGUUCCUGAAUCCAUCAAGAAAACAAUUUCUAGGGAAAAAUUAAAGUCUUUCUUAAGUGUUGCAUUUUAAC